CUCCAGGGCGCGUCGCCGAAGAGAGCGCGGCCACCCUCGCUCCCGCCACCGGAAUCUGUCCGAAUCGAUUCUUUGCCUGCCAAGUCCAGUUCCCAGGAGGAAGACUGGCCGGAAGAAUCCGUGGGGCCAGACUGUCCAUUUCCUUUAAGGAAUUUGGCCUAAAUUCCUAAGUCGGAAUUCCCCCAAAGAACAAGCCAAGCUUCAGAAUGUUCCAGGAUAAAGAUAACAACCACAGAACCAACUGGCUCCAUGUUUGUUAAGAGAGCCCCAAGUUCAAGUUCACUCCCUGCUUCACCCCUAAGUCCACCUCCACCUUCCUCUCGUUAUGAGACCAAGAGCCUCCACCACUGUUACCUAUCCUUCACC